CCUACGGGAGGCAGCAGUGGGGAAUAUUGGACAAUGGGGGGAACCCUGAUCCAGCCAUGCCGCGUGUGUGAAGAAGGCCCUCGGGUUGUAAAGCACUUUCAGUGAGGAAGAACGCCUGGUGGUUAAUACCCAUCAGGAAAGACAUCACUCACAGAAGAAGCACCGGCUAACUCCGUGCCAGCAGCCGCGGUAAUACGGAGGGUGCGAGCGUUAAUCGGAAUUACUGGGCGUAAAGCGCGCGUAGGUGGCUUGAUAAGCCGGUUGUGAAAGCCCCGGGCUCAACCUGGGAACGGCAUCCGGAACUGUCAAGCUAGAGUGUAGGAGAGGAAGGUAGAAUUCCCGGUGUAGCGGUGAAAUGCGUAGAGAUCGGGAGGAAUACCAGUGGCGAAGGCGGCCUUCUGGACUGACACUGACACUGAGGUGCGAAAGCGUGGGGAGCAAACAGGAUUAGAUACCCGGGUAGUC
rnacentral:rRNA from 1 species